rnacentral:misc_RNA from 1 species
UCCUCACCUCUCUUUGUUAACGGUGCCACGUUUCUGGUGACGUAGAGGAGGUGAGGCAGCCAACGCUGCUACGGGCCACGUUACACACACACCAAUAUUCUGUUGCACUCACCUCAUACACCCACGCUCACACGCAGACUCAGCACUCGCGCUCCGAGUGUUAUUUCGACAUUGUGCACUGCUACUGGAUCCCAUUUCUUUUCUAUCCCUAAAAAGAACACGACCGUCCUCUGCGCGAAGCCCGUGCCUCUCUCUGUAUAUCUCUCCAAGGCGGCCUUCUCGAACCCCCACCGUGGGCGUGCCUCCGCCCCGCAUUCUACCGAGUGAGUCUCUCGUGGUUUCUGUGCCAGAGUUCUUGCCUCGUUCUUCUAGCGAGUCGAUGCCGCCAUAUUUCCUUCGGGGCUCUGUUGGCUCCACUCACCCACCUUCGCCGCCGCCUUCCUGGUUCAUUGCCGUCCAGCCACAGCCGAGCAAUGGGUCGAUCGGAGAGGCGAACAUGUCCUCGAUUCUGAAGGAGCUCCCGUCGGAGGUUUUGAUACCGACGUUCCUCCUCUUGGUGAUGUCCAGUGUUAUGGUGACGGCCGUGAACGCCGUCUUCAAUAUAUUUGCUCAUCAGGAUCGCAUGGUGAUGGAGACCUUCCAGCAGUGGCGCCGCGUGCUGUGGAUGAGCAAGGCGGCUCACAUUGUGGAGGCGCCAUCUGCCGAGCAGGCGCACCGCAUGACGCAGACGCACCAUGUGGCUGCCGUGACGGCGAGAAGCACCACCCCUGUGAUGUCGCCCGUGGAGCUGUACAACAGCGCCGCCUUCUUCCGCGGGAUUGCCGCGCCCACCGGUGCGGCGGCACCUUCGACCGGUGCCUCGGCAUCUUCUGCGACGGACGUCAUCUUAGUUGGUGUGGCGAGCGGUUGCUCAGCAACACCUUUGCCGAGCGCGACGUCAACGACGCCGUACACCGGCGAUGCGGACGUAAUCGCGGAAGCGGAGGUGUACCAUGAAGAGAACCCACCUGCGGCGGUGCCUGCGCCUGUCGUUGCGGAGGCCCUGACGAACACCAUGGAGGCAGUGCGGCGAGAGAGCCAGCGUGUCAUCUUCGAGUUUCACCCAUAUUACAUUAUCCUCUGCGCCGCCAAGGAGUUCACGAUGCUCAUUUAUAUUCAGUACCACUUUGGCGGAAUCCACGGCGGCUGGCGCCGCUUUUGCGUCUGCGGCGCGGCGAACAUCUUCUCCGGCCUUCUUACCUCUGUCUGGGAGUACGCCAUGAUGGCGCUCCUUCCUCUGGACCUCGACCGCGCCACGCCGGUGGUGGUGAAGGAAGAAGAGAAAGCGGACUCCGUCUUUAUCGUGGAGCUGCUGUUGCGCAUCAGCACCCUUGAGCUGAAUGACUUGCCGACGGUUCUGAUGCAAGGCACCACCUUUGUGGCGUUCGCCGCGGUGCUGGUGCCGCUCCUGGGCACCUUCUGCUCGUCGGGUCUUGUCCGGUACGUGUGGAUUUAUGUGCCCCUCUGGCUCGUCUACUUGGUCGUGCGCCAUAUCUACUACCAAGGCGCCGGCUCCCUUCCCUCCCCCAGGGCGCGCAACGCAGCGGCCGUCGUGGGCAUGACGAACGAGAUGCUGAAGGCGUUCUUGAUGAAGGCGCUGACGGUAUUUGUGCUACUCUUCACGAUGCAGUCCAGCUUCUUGUUAGGUCUGGCGUGGGCGGAGGGGGCGACGUACGAUGAGGGGCUGCAGUACAUGGCGCUCCACGAGUUCGGCUUCCACGCAGGCGCCUUUGCCUCCUCUUUUCAGAAGGUGUGUUUGCUGAGCCAAUUAUUCCUGUGAGUUUGUGCGUGUGCGUCGACCCCGUCGGGCAGACUCCACCGCGCGCACGCCGUGUUCCUCCUCUUUUCAAGUUUUCCUUUCGGACGCGUUUAUCGUAGUACGCCAAUGGCUGCGCAACG